CCUACGGGUGGCAGCAGUAGGGAAUAUUGCUCAAUGGGGGAAACCCUGAAGCAGCAACGCCGCGUGGAGGAAGAAGGUUUUCGGAUUGUAAACUCCUUUUGUUAGAGAAGAUAAUGACUGUAUCUAACGAAUAAGCACCGGCUAACUCCGUGCCAGCAGCCGCGGUAAUACGGAGGGUGCAAGCGUUACUCGGAAUCACUGGGCGUAAAGAGGGCUUAGGCGGGAUAGCAAGUCAGAUGUGAAAUCCUAUGGCUUAACCAUAGAACUGCAUUUGAAACUGUUAUUCUAGAGUAUGGGAGAGGUAGGUGGAAUUCUUGGUGUAGGGGUAAAAUCCGUAGAGAUCAAGAGGAAUACUCAUUGCGAAGGCGACCUGCUAGAACAUAACUGACGCUGAUGCGCGAAAGCGUGGGGAGCAAACAGGAGUAGAUACCCUUGUAGUC
rnacentral:rRNA from 1 species